AUUGAACGCUGGCGGCAGGCCUAACACAUGCAAGUCGAGCGAGCGGCGGACGGGUGAGUAAUGUCUGGGAAACUGCCUGAUGGAGGGGGAUAACUACUGGAAACGGUAGCUAAUACCGCAUACCAUCAGAUGUGCCCAGAUGGGAUUAGCUAGUCGGGGGGGUAAUGGCUCACAUAGGCGACGAUCCCUAGCUGGUCUGAGAGGAUGAUCAGCCACACUGGAACUGAGACACGGUCCAGACUCCUACGGGAGGCAGCAGUGGGGAAUAUUGCACAAUGGGCGAAAGCCUGAUGCAGCCAUGCCGCGUGUGUGAAGAAGGCCUUCGGGUUGUAAAGUACUUUCAGUGGGGAGGCGUUACCCGCAGAGGAAGCACCGGCUAACUCCGUGCCAGCAGCCGCGGUAAUUC
rnacentral:rRNA from 1 species